rnacentral:rRNA from 1 species
CGCCAGCCUGACGGAGCCAGACCGCGUGGGGGAGGAAGGCCCUUGGGUUGUAAACCCCUUUUCUCAGGGAAGAAGUUCUGACGGUACCUGAGGAAUCAGCCUCGGCUAACUCCGUGCCAGCAGCCGCGGUAAUACGGAGGAGGCAAGCGUUAUCCGGAAUUAUUGGGCGUAAAGCGUCCGCAGGGGGCGCAUCAAGUCUGCUGUUAAAGGCUGGAGCUCAACUCCGGUAGAGCAGUGGAAACUGGUGCGCUAGAGGGCGACAGGGGUAGAGGGAAUUCCCAGUGUAGCGGUGAAAUGCGUAGAGAUUGGGAAGAACACCGGUGGCGAAAGCGCUCUACUGGGUCGCACCUGACCCUCAGGGACGAAAGCUAAGGGAGCG